UGGCUUGAAGGAGGAGAGGUUUAUUUUGGCUUGUGUUUUGGUCUCUGGUUUCUCGGUUCCAAAGAGGAAGCCACGUGGCAAAGGGACUGGCGGAGGAGAGGGGCUCACUUCCUGGUGGCCAGGAAGCUGAGUAGGAAGGAUAAACCCUCCUGGGUCAACACCUCACUGUGGACCAGGCCCUGCCCCCAGCCGGGGGUCAGUCACAAACUGUCAUAACCCAGCACCUUGCCAAAGCCCACCUAUGGGCACCUGAGGGACAUCUGAUGACUGAAGACAGCUGUCAUCUUGCAGAAGGACAUGCUCUGGGUCCCUGAUCUGAGGCACAGGAGUGACAAAGGCUGGGCUGCAGGAAGUCACAUGUGCUUGCUAAGUCCCAGAGCUCGGAGGAACAAAGCCUCACGGGGACUGGAGAAGAUGCCGAGGUCCUGAAGUUGUGGCCGCCUGGCCUGGAUGGGCUAUCUGUGUCUCUGGCUUCAGUUCCAGGCUCUUUGCCCAAGGUCCUGCAGGACUCGCCAAGCAAGAUAAAGAUGACACUACCACGCCUCCGGGGCUGCUCUGCGUGCCACAGGGGCGCAGGUGUCCCCUCCGAGCCCAGUGGGUGCAUGACCCAUGCCAGGAGGCUUGGGCCAGCACUGGGAGUGCCUAGGAGCCCCAGGUAUUCCAGGCUAGAGAGGAGCAGGGGCAGGUGGGGCCACCAGAAGCUGAGGUAAGGCCAGGGGCAGGGGUGACAGUGCAUGCAGGGUAGCCUGGGGAAGACAGGGAAACUGAGGCCCAGAGAUGGGCUAGGCCCUAGUUUCAUGGGCACUGGCACAUGUGGGGCCUGUUCAGAGCAAAGUGGCCCCGAGUCAGUCACUCUCCUCUUGGAGACGCUUGUGAGUCCUAGGAAAACGCACUGUAUCACUGAGACACAGGCUGCGAGGGCACGGCCUGCAUGACACCUAAGCAGGUGUUGAGCAUUCAGCCACUGGCUCUGUGGUCCUCUGGGAUUCAUGCUCAGCAGACUAUGGCUCUUCCACCAGGAAGAGCGACCUCCAAGGCGGAGAGGAGCACUGUGGGCAUUUGGGCCCCUGCCGCUCCAGUGAGAUCACCAAGUAGCUUCCAUAGUCCCCUGGGCAAUGCACUUUCUCCCCGUGGGCAUUGCUCCCGUCUACCAUCUGCACCUUCCACUCGGAGCUCCAGCUUCUCUGUACUGCUCCUCUGGGUCCCAAGCAUCUGAAAGACUCCAGUUCUCCUCAAGGCCCACCAAGCACCAGCACUUUGUGGAAAAGGCCCGAGGCUCACCACAUGCUGGACCCUCACCUGGGAGUAAGGGAGAGCUCGGGAAGGGAGGCUGCAGGGCUGGGGACUUCCCAAAGCACAGUGGCUGCCACAGAGGUCACAGUGUCCAGCCAGAAGUUCACCACGUCCCAGCCUGCACGCCGUAAGCAGCCCGCCCUCUGCCUUCCACCUGGCCCCAGGGUGCUGUGGUGGCCUGCUCAGUGUCUGGUGUCCACUGAGCCACAUGGACUGCCCCAAACUGCAUUUCCCAGAACUCUACCUGGAGCUCUGGGGUAGGCAGCCGCAGGGGCCCCUAUGAGAGGUUUGUUGGGCAGAAGUGAGGCUUGGCCAUCCUGCUCUAGGGACUCAUGCAAGCUAGAAGUGACCUAGCUUGUAGAUUGGUAUGGCUGAGGGCCUGCAGUUCCCAGCUAUCUUUGCUCAGCACGUGCGGCUGGGGGGGGGGCGCCAGAUUGCCCCACUGGUCCCCUGUGUCCUGGAGAUGGAGGCCUGGGAGCCAGACGCAUUGCCAACAUGUACUACGCCCCCAGACCUUCAGCGACCUCAGCCCCACAGGGACAUAGAGACAAACUCCUCUCAAACUAAGGGAUGCACCCCCAUUAUCUUAGGCAAACCCUUCUCCUCCUGUCCUCCGCGAACAGAGGUCCUCGGGUCUUCCACUGUGACCCCAGGGAGAAAAGAACGUCACCAGACUCCAGGAGGCGAUAAACAGGGUUAGAAAAGAGGUGACAUAACGCAGUGAAGUGGAUUCGCUCCGCUGCUCUCUGUGCCCUGGAGAAACGGUAUCCCUUGACAGUUUAUGGAAUAUUUCAAAAUAACCAGGAGAGUGCAGGGGGUCUGGCACGCAGAAUGACGCACAUUCAGCAAUGUGGAAAUGCAAUUACUUGGAUUUCACCACAACACUGCAGACUGGUAUUAUGUUGCCCAGCACAGCCCGGAACCUGCAAUCCUCUUGUCUCAACCUCCACCUCCAGAGUAGCUGGGAUCACAAGCGUGGGAUACCAGGCCCAGUUUAAAGAAAAAUGAAAGUACAGUAAGGAAUGAAGACAUCUUCUGUCCAUGUAGCAGCUCCUUUUAGUGAAUGUGGUCAGUAUGCACUGUCAUCACAGACUAAUAAAAAUAAAAUGCAAAAAUAAAUUUUAAAGAA